GAUGAACGCUGGCGGCGUGCUUAACACAUGCAAGUCGAACGAAGCACUUAAACCUGAUUCUUCGGAUGAAGGUUUUUGUGACUGAGUGGCGGACGGGUGAGUAACGCGUGGGUAACCUGCCUCAUACAGGGGGAUAACAGUUAGAAAUGACUGCUAAUACCGCAUAAGACCACAGAGCCGCAUGGCUCAGUGGGAAAAACUCCGGUGGUAUGAGAUGGACCCGCGUCUGAGUAGGUAGUUGGUGGGGUAACGGCCUACCAAGCCAACGAUCAGUAGCCGACCUGAGAGGGUGACCGGCCACAUUGGGACUGAGACACGGCCCAAACUCCUACGGGAGGCAGCAGUGGGGAAUAUUGCACAAUGGGGGAAACCCUGAUGCAGCGACGCCGCGUGAGCGAAGAAGUAUUUCGGUAUGUAAAGCUCUAUCAGCAGGGAAGAAAAUGACGGUACCUGACUAAGAAGCACCGGCUAAAUACGUGCCAGCCGCCGCGGUAAGAC
rnacentral:rRNA from 1 species